rnacentral:lncRNA from 1 species
CUAAUCUUACAAAUAAACUUCAAAACAAAUAUACCAAACCAAUCAACACAACUAAAAUUCAACGACAUAUACAUUGAGCCAGCUAAACAAAUAUAAACUACACGGCCAAAUAUUUAACAAUUUACAAACUUACUUUCACAGAUGCUUAUGAAGAAGAGGAAGACGACAAUCAAGAUCAGUGAAAUUACCUAAACAAAAAAGCAGAGUAAGUUACAAACUCUGAUAAAUACAACUAACAAUGAUUUUUGUUUACAUAUUACCCAUUAAAUAAAAGAGAAACAAACACAGUCACACCAGGAGAUACAAGAGACAAUCCCAACAGACACAAAGACAGCAACAACAUCUCCACCUACUCACUCAUCUUGUCUUAUAAAAAUAGCUUAUAUGCUCAAUGUCAACAUGCCAACGCUAUUGUCUUCUUAUGAGAAAUACAUAUAUUCGUUUAAAACCCAUUAAGACUCAAAUACUAAUUGUCACUCAUUUUAUAGUUAUUUCUACAAGUUUUCAUAUAUUUGUUUUAAAAGUCCGGUAAAAACAACAAGUUUAAAAGUAAAAAAAACAUAUAACCAACAUAAUAAGAAUAAAAAAAAUUAUUACUU